AUUUUACAGAAAACACAGCAGAGGUGAUUUCUUUUUCUUCCGGGCUGUUCAUACUUGUGCCUCCUUUACAAUGCGCAUGAGGUUGUCAUUAAUUCUGCGUUGGCUUAUUGCAGGGUCUCUCUUCGCGGACACCUUGUCGAUGUUUAAUUGGAAACCUACGACUCUGCGUGAAUCGGUGAAUGCAACACUCGACCUAUCAAUAUUUGCGGAUCACUGACUCUGUAGAAGUCCGAUUGUCUUGGCCAGGAGAAGCCGGUCCACCCAACUGUCUACGGAAACCUGCGAUUAUUGUGAUAAAGGUGAACGAUCCCGUCACCAGUGUGGUAUACUGUGUAUCAAACUGGUUCCGGCAUUGUCCACCACCAACCGAAUUGUUGCGCCGGCUGACCAGCUUUCGGUAAAUACAUGAACAUAGUACAAAUCCAGCGCCGAUCGAUGUCAGGGCCCAGCCCACCUAAAAAUUCAAAAUUGUUAUCCUACAUAUUGUUGGAGACUAGGAUUUUAUGCAGUACUCUUGGGUGCCCAAAUUUUCAUGACACAUCGGCAGUAAAACUGUCAAUAUGUUUGUGUUGCAUCUAUGUGGAAAAAUUUUAAGGGCAGUAAUUAUGGCUUUUCAUUACGUUUUUCAUU